GUCGACGAUGAUCCCAGCUUGCUGGGGGAUUAGUGGCGAACGGGUGAGUAACACGUGAGUAACCUGCCCUUGACUCUGGGAUAAGCCUGGGAAACUGGGUCUAAUACCGGAUAUGACUCCUCAUCGCAUGGUGGGGGGUGGAAAGCUUUUGUGGUUUUGGAUGGACUCGCGGCCUAUCAGCUUGUUGGUGGGGUAAUGGCCUACCAAGGCGACGACGGGUAGCCGGCCUGAGAGGGUGACCGGCCACACUGGGACUGAGACACGGCCCAGACUCCUACGGGAGGCAGCAGUGGGGAAUAUUGCACAAUGGGCGCAAGCCUGAUGCAGCGACGCCGCGUGAGGGAUGACGGCCUUCGGGUUGUAAACCUCUUUCAGUAGGGAAGAAGCGUAAGUGACGGUACCUGCAGAAGAAGCGCCGGCUAACUACGUGCCAGCAGCCGCGGUAAUACGUAGGGCGCAAGCGUUAUCCGGAAUUAUUGGGCGUAAAGAGCUCGUAGGCGGUUUGUCGCGUCUGCUGUGAAAGACCGGGGCUCAACUCCGGUUCUGCAGUGGGUACGGGCAGACUAGAGUGCAGUAGGGGAGACUGGAAUUCCUGGUGUAGCGGUGAAAUGCGCAGAUAUCAGGAGGAACACCGAUGGCGAAGGCAGGUCUCUGGGCUGUAACUGACGCUGAGGAGCGAAAGCAUGGGGAGCGAACAGGAUUAGAUACCCUGGUAGUCCAUGCCGUAAACGUUGGGCACUAGGUGUGGGGGACAUUCCACGUUUUCCGCGCCGUAGCUAAC
rnacentral:rRNA from 1 species